rnacentral:rRNA from 1 species
GCUUGUCUCAAAGAUUAAGCCAUGCAUGUCUUAGUGUAAAUAACUCUUAUGAAACUGCGAAUGGCUCAUUAAAUCAGUUAUCAAAUACGUGAUGGUCGCCUACUACAUGGAUAACCGUAGUAAUUCUAGAGCUAAUACAUGCGUCAAUGCCCGACUUUGGAAGGGCUGUGUUUAUUAGAUCCAAAACCAAUGCGGGGCAACCCGGUUACUGGUGAUUCAUAAUAACCUAUCGGACCGAAUGGCCUUGCGCCGUCGGUGCAUCAUUCAAAUUUCUGCCCUAUCAAUUUGUUGGUAGUAUAUAGGACUACCAAGAUGAUUACGGGUAACGGAGAAUUAGGGUUUGAUUCCGGAGAGGGAGCCUGAGAAACGGCUACCACAUCUAAGGAAGGCAGCAGG